rnacentral:rRNA from 1 species
GUGGGGAAUCUUGCGCAAUGCGCGAAAGCGUGACGCAGCAACGCCGCGUGGGGGAAGACGGCCUUCGGGUUGUAAACCCCUUUCAGGAGGGACGAAGCCCAAGCGGUGAAUAGCCGCCUUGGGUGACGGUACCUCCAGAAGAAGCCCCGGCUAACUACGUGCCAGCAGCCGCGGUAAUACGUAGGGGGCAAGCGUUGUCCGGAAUUAUUGGGCGUAAAGCGCGUGUAGGCGGUCCACUAAGUCGGCUGUGAAAGUCCAGGGCUCAACCCUGGGAUGCCGGUCGAUACUGGUGGACUAGAGUCCGGAAGAGGCGAGUGGAAUUCCCGGUGUAGCGGUGAAAUGCGCAGAUAUCGGGAGGAACACCAAUGGCGAAGGCAGCUCGCUGGGACGGUACUGACGCUGAGACGCGAAAGCGUGGGGAGCAAACAGGAUUAGAUACCCGAGUAGUCC